rnacentral:misc_RNA from 1 species
GGACUACAAGGGUAUCUAAUCCUGUUUGCUCCCCACGCUUUCGCGCCUCAGCGUCAGUUGCUGUCCAGCAGACCGCCUUCGCCACUGGUGUUCCUCCUAAUAUCUACGCAUUUCACCGCUACACUAGGAAUUCCGUCUGCCUCUCCAGUACUCAAGAAAAACAGUUUCAAAUGCAGGCCACAGGUUGAGCCCAUGGUUUUCACAUCUGACUUGCUUUCCCGCCUACACGCCCUUUACACCCAGUAAAUCCGGAUAACGCUUGCCACCUACGUAUUACCGCGGCGGCUGGCAC